AUACCCGAACGGGUUCUACACCUCUAUACCGAAAUACUCGAAAAUCCAAAAUACCCGACCCUAACCCGAACGGGUACCCGAACGCCCACCCCUACUAAUUAGAAACAUUAUAAUAUUUUCUAAGCAAAUGUAAUUAAUAUGAUAUCAACAUGCGCAAGUUUACUGUUUGAAUAAUAAGGAAAGUUUUUAAUAUUUGUCUUAGUUUUAAAUCUUACCCAAUGCUAAACUAAAUUAAUAAUUAUUAUCCCCUAGCUAUAUAUGGGCUUAACGAAAUCGAUAAUAGUUUUGGGCUUGUCUACAUAAGCGAUUGAUUAAAAUAAAUGAAAAAUAAAAUUCAAAAAAAUCGACCAAUAGAAUUAUAACAAUUUUUCUGAGAAUCUCUAUAUUAAUGCCAUGUCAGCAGAAAUCACUAAAAUGACUUCUCUUUUAAUGUAUAGGAGGAUAAAUAAUCUAAUAUACUAUUUUAUUCCGUGCGGAUUACUACCUAGUAUACACUAUUUCACCAACUGUUUACAUUUAGUAUUCAUUGAAUAGCGAAGUGUAUUUAUAAUUGGGUAUACACAAAAUAAUCCAUUUACAUUAUCUAAUUGUUUGAAAACACAAAGAACAUAUAUAAAACUCAAAAUUUAAUACACAAACACUAAAUAUAAGUUGGGACUACACAAGAUAGGGGUAUUACACAGUCAAAUCCGGGUACUGGGUUCAAAUGAACAUACUGAAUGCAGCAGAAAGACAAAAGGAAAUGAAUCAACCAAGCCUCGAUGGUCUAUACCAACAAGUGUGGAAGCUGGAUACAAGCCCAAAAGUGCAACAUUUUCUGUGGAGAUGUCUCAUCAACUCCUUAUGUCAAGAGACGGAAGUUGUGGCCGCUGCGCAAUGGCAGAUGAAAUAGUGAAUCAUCUCCUCUUCAAGUGUCCUUAUGCGAGACUGGUGCAGGCGAUAUCUCCUAUCCAUGCACCUUCGGGUGGUGAAAUGUCAGAUUCUCUCUACUCUAAUGUUCAUUAGUUAAUAAAUUUGAACUAUGAAUAUCCAAAGGAAGAAGCUCAUGAUCUCCUAGUCUCUGGCUUUUAUGGAGAAUUUGGAAGAAUAGAAAUGAGUUUUUGUUCAAAGGCAAGGACUAUAAUGCUUUAAGUACAGUGAAAAAAGCGAGAGAGGACAUGGAGGAAUGGAAGUCCCGACAAGAGGUGGAAGUUAGUGUGGUUAAAAACCCAACAAGAGCGCCUACUGCUGAUAGAUGGAAGCCUCCGCCGCAUGACUAGAUCAAAUGUAAUACUGAUGGGGCGUGGAAGAAAGAUAAUGAAUUAUACGGUGUGAGAUGGGUGAGUAGAGAUCACCAUGAAAAGCUCUUGUGGUAGAGGAUAUUAACGUUGGGAUCACCAAUUGAAGUGGAAGCUGCAGCUAUAAGAUGGGCUUACGUACUAUGGCAAGUUUUGGAUAUCGACAGGUGAUAAUAGAGACAUAUUCUUUGGAGAUAUCCAAAAUGAUUAAUGUAGAGGAUGCUCUUUGGCCCAAGCUAAAGCCGAUCAUACAAGACAUCUCCAACUCUUUGACUUUGAACCCAACGUACAAGGUGGAGUGUUGUAAUAGGAGUAGCAAUAAAGUAGCUGAUAGGAUAGCAAAUGAGUCUUUGACAUUUAUGUCUUGUUUUUCCAAGUUGUAUUCUAUUCAGCCUGUUUGGUUAAGAUCAGUGUUAGAGGCUGAUAUGCCUCUGUAAGGAUGAUUUAAGUUGGUUAAUGAAGAGAGUUGUUGAGCCAAAUAUAUAUAUCCCACUAUAUAAAAGAAGCUAAAUUUGAGCUUCAUAAGGCUAUCCACAUGUGCACAAAUAUUCAGGACCAACCAAAGUGCCAUGUCAUUUUUGUGGGCUUGCAAUUUUAAAAAAAUUUGUCACCUACGUGGCCCGUAUGACCCAUCUCUCCCGAGCCUCUCUUCAUACCAUAUUGGUCGCAGCCCAUUACCCAUCUCUUGAUACGGUUCGGGUUAUAUCGCUGUCCUCUCUGAAAUAUCAAAAUCACUAACCCUAAUCACCGUUCUCGAUCUCUUUGUCGAUUCUCUUCCUCCCCCAAACUCAUCCCGAUCUCUUUGUCGAUUCUCUUUCUCUCCCCAACUCAUCCCGCAUAACGUCCCCGAUGAGAGUGCUGGUACUUCAAUGUGCUCUCAUAAAGCCUUCAAUGUUUUCUUCAACCAUGCUGUUGCCUGUUGGUGAUGUUUUCAAUUUAAUAUGCGGAGAGGAUGAGAUCGACUUGGGGAGAGGAGGUUAUUGUUCGGAAUUGAAACCCGAAAAUGGAUUUCACAAUCGUAAGCUCUCACUUCUUUGGGCUCGCUUCGUCUUCUUAAAGAGGCUUUAUCGGCUGCGUUGAGGCUGUAUCGUCCGGUGCCGGAGUUCUUCAACCCCGGCUUGAAGGGCGACAAGAUACAACAUGGGACUUUUGUUUCGCAGUGAUGUUUUUGAUUUACUUGGCUGGGAGGAUGAGAUCGACUCUGGGAGAUUUUGUUUCGAGUUCAAACCGGAGAGAUUGACUUUGAAAUCGUACGCUCUUAGUAUACAUAAUUAUGGGCCAAUACACACAGAUUACGAUACAAACACAAACACGAAGCUCAGCAUUAGAGUUUCAGCCCCGGAGAUUCAACAGCAACUAAAGUAAGAUUCCAAAUUCGUCCUCUGUUCAGCCUCCAGUCAAUUUCUUUCACUUUUUUAAUCUUUGCCUAAUGUUCAUUACUGUGAUCAAAAAUAACUCGCUUGCAUAUGUCUUCUUUUUCAGGUUGUUACUUGGCUUUCUAUUUCAUGAAGCACAGAACGUAGUAUAUAAAAGGAAACAGAAAUACACUUUGCAAAUAUUCUCUGUGUCUUUGGAUUAAUCUAUAAUCUUGUGAUGUAGAUAGAUACAAAAGCUUCUUACGGAUCUCCAUGGAGAAUUCAUGAAGGUAACCUGAAACAACUCUCUAUCUCUUGCAAGUGGAUGCCAGACUAAUGUCAUAGUUUGGUAAAAUUCCAGAUUAAGUUUUGGUGAAUGACUUUGUGUUUUGUACAGAAGAUAAGAACUCAUGUUCGUUAUGGGAAGCAGUUAUCACAAUACAACCUUACUUAUCGAAUUUUCAUCAAGUAAUAUUACAUGAUUUAUAAUUAGUUGUGUAUUUUAUGACUUUUUAUAAGUGUGGUUGACGAUAAAAAUGACAAGGCUAUCACAAAAGAUACCUCAAGUUCAGGUAUUUUAGAUAUGGGACUCUCUGGACCUUUAAUAUGUGAUAAUGUAUCGAAGUUUUAAGUCUUCUUCCAACAAUACUCUAAUUCGAUUUUGUGGUGUAUCGAUACAUUUCCUGAAGGGCUUACUCGGAAGCUUCCAGUUACCAACAAGUAUGUGAAGCCAAUAUGUAUAGGAUUUGGAGGGGCGGAGGACCACGACCUUGAAAAUCUGAAGAAACAGCUCGAAGAUGAUGAUCUCAUCAGAGGUACAAUAACUGCGGAACAUCAAGGCAGUGAAGGUACAAUUUUACCUGUGCAUGUCAAAACCGAACUCUGUAGCCAUCUCCCUACACCGGUUUAGUCAUAACUGUCAUUUGAUUAACAAACAGAGUCUGGUGUUAAUUAGCUGAUACAAAAGACAAUCGCGCAUACAGCUGAGAGGGUCACGUGGUCUAAGUCUUGAAUUAACGUUUGAGUUGUUCUGUUCAGUGACAAAGGCUUCUGUCCAUUCCAAAUCAAGCAGGUACACAUAUGAAUCCGGCUCCUGUGUUUAGAAUCAAGAAACAAAGUUCCUUCGCGUCAAAGGCUUGUGUGCGAGUCUCUUCAGUGCUCUCUUUGGCUUUCUUAUGUUCGAUUCACACAAGUAUUGGUCUUCCACAACAAAGACUCAUCCACAUUAUUACAUGUUCUGCUAUAAACCUUUUCUUUUACCUCUAGGCUCAUUGUCAAUACCAAAAUACAGCUGCGUUUUGACCUUGAUUAGGUGUGAUUGUGACUCUCUUUCACUUCCUCGAUGCACAUGGCUACACUUUUCUUUGCGGUGGUUGAGAUGUCGAUAGACAUAAUCACUCUUGGGAAAAUCAAGGGACUGCUUAGCAUGGGUCGCCUCUUCUGCUUGAAAUAUUGGAGACCAAUGAGUUAGAGUUUAGAGACAUCAAUUGGUAGAUUCAUACAAUAUAAGCUUAGAGUUUUGUUUCUUCUUUGUUUUUCCGGUUGAUUGGUUUUAAGAAAUGGAAUCCUUUCUCUCAAAAGACUAUAAGCAUAUUGUAGUGUCAGAUGGCUUAAUGAUUCUUCGAUUUUGAAACCAGAAAUCUAUUUUCCUGCCAAAAUGCUUCUUUGUUAUUGUUACAUAGUGGAGUGUUUAAAACAUUACUAAACCAAUUCAGUCAAAUUUUAAUAGAACGAAGCAAAACGAUUAGAACCAGUUGUAUUUUUAUAUCUUUGUAAAACUCAGCUUCUCAGGAUCAAUCUUAUCACUACGAAUCAUCAUUCUAUAGAAGAAGAUGAAGUCGGAUUUGGAAAGCGUUUGGUAAUUUUUAGAAGUUUGAGAAAAGGUAAUAGAAGUUGUAUUAAAUAGUGGAUAUAGUGGACGUUUGAAUUAAGUUUGUACACUUCUCGGAUUGAUACAUUUAUUCACGUUUUGAAAUUGAACACGUCUAUUCAUUAAACACGUUCCCAAAGUCUUAGAAACAAAUACAUUAUCAAUUCAAAUCCCAUUAGAAUAAGUUAUUGUUCAUACGUUCUAAAUAUUUAAUAAUAAAUUAAACAACAAAUUUUUUAUAUCUACAAAAUUUUCAUCAUAACAUAAGUAUUUUUAUCACGUAAAAUAAAUUGAAAUGCAUUUGAAAUAUUUAGUAAGAAUUAAAUAUCCAGUUUUUUAAUAUCACAAAAAAAUAUCUUUUAUCACGUAAAAACUUGAAAACAUCCAUGUAUAAAAUUAUAUACAAUCUGUAUAGAGAUUUAUCUCUUUUGAAAAAAUAUUAAAAAAUAUAUGAUGUAAAAUAUUUUUUAAUGAUAACACAAUACAAACUAUAUAUAAUGAUAAUUAUCAAAUCAAUAAAAUUCAUUUCUAAUUUAUGGUUAAGUAUAUAUUAACAAAUUUAAUUAUUUAUUAAAGUUAAUAAAGACUUUGUAACACAGUAUAAUUUAGUUUUGGACAAUGAUAAUUAUCAAAUUAAUAUUUUAAAAAUUUUAUGGUUAAUUAUAUAUUAACAAAUCUAAUUAUUCAUUAAGAAUAAUAAAUAUUUUAGCCGCUCUACAUUUUAAAGUGAAAGUUUAGAAGAUGAAAAAACUCACUCCAUAAAUAAUAUUAUAAAUUAUUUAAAAUAAACAUAAAUAAAUGAUUAAAUAUAAGUUUGAUUAUAACAAACAAUCCGCGCAGGGCGCGGAUAAAAGAUCUAGUAUAUAUAAGUUGAGAUAAUAACUUACUCUCACCAAAUUCUAAUUUUCAAGUAGGACAACUGACAAUAGGUCCAAAAGAUGCGAGAGUCAACAGAACAAGAAAACAAUAAUGGUCUAAAUAGCAUUUCCAAUCCCACUUUAUUUUCAACUAUAAACUCUAUUUUUUAGUAAAAAAUUUUUUAGUCCACUCUAGUUUUCACUUUAAAAUAGAAUAAUAGGUGAGAUAAUUAUAUAUUUAGAGUAACUUCAUUUUUACUCUAUUUUAGAAUUGAAUUUUUUAUUUAUAAAAAAUAUUUUGAAUAUUAAUUUUUUUACUCUAUACUUUUUAAUAUAACAAUAAUUAUUAUUUUUGGAUAUAACCUUCAAAUUUUUAAUUAUUGCUUUAUCAAUGACAAAAACUUAGUGUAAACUAACAUUUGUUAAAGUUUAAUAUAACGUUCCAAGUUUUAAGGUGUAUAUUUUUAUAACUAUAUAUUUUUGUUAUCAAUUUAUUAUGUGUUUAUUCAAAAUGUAAUUAACUAUAAUAUAUAAUAUAUUCUUGUUAGAUAUAACAUAUGUAACAACUUGUAAAAAUAGAAUAAACAAUGCCGCAUAUAUUUUUGCUUCAAAAUUUUCAUUUUGUUAGUUUAUAUAUACAUAUUUUAGAAAAAUAUACAUAAAAUAUGAGGACCAAACUAAUUUGAUUAUUGAACUUUUUUAGUUCGGUUUUGAAUCUUUUAGCAAUUGUGUUUUGUAGUUUUAUUCUUGAGAGAUGGAAGAUAAAACUCCACCCUCAUAUUUCCAAAUAUAAAAUGAUAACAAAAUUUGGUUCCAAAAGUUUCUUGGUUGUUUUAGAGAUAUUAAAUAUAAAAAAUCUCAUUUUUAAAAAAUCUCAUUUUCACUUCGAAAUAGAUUAAUCGAUAGAAAAAUACAUUAAUGGUGAUUGUUACAUGCAAAAUACUAUUUGUUUGUGAUGUAAUGUAAAUUAUUUAUUUAGUGAAUAUUUAAUUAAAAUUAAUUUCAUAAUUAUAAAAUAAACGGGCUCAAUUUUAAAUUUUAUAAUUAAUUAUAAGGUUUUAAUAGCAAAAUAGAAUAUUUUAUUUUUGGAAUAAAAAAUGUAGUAAUACAUUGGAGUAAAAUCUAAUUUCAUUUUAGAGUUCCUCUAUAUUGAAGUAAAAAAUAGAGAUAUAAAUUGGAUAUAUACAUUAGAGAUAGUCUAAGAAAAAAAAGGUAAAUAUGUAAUGCAAUAAAGUACAUGAGCCAACUGGGCCAUCUACUUCUAUUAGAAAGCCUUAUUUUCUGAAUCCACUUGGAAAUAUUUUUGGUUAGUGUAUGCUAAGGAAAAUGAAAGAAAAAAGGAUUAGUUAUUUUAUCCGACAUCUCUUAACUAAUAAAGUUGCAUUUUUUUCACUCCUUCGGGGAAAAAAAUACACCUGGCAUCUCUAUUUAUUGGGCCAUUAAAACUAUUUAUUUGUUAAUUGAUCUUAGCCACUUUUCUUUCACAAGGUCCACCAUUUUCAAGCCCUACACUCUUUCACAAAUGUUCCAGUUGCCGUCUUUUCCGGUUUUCCUCAUCCAACGUUUUUGUCGUUAUCAAUUUUCAGUGCCUUAAUCUCCUAUUCCCCACUAUCUACAUCAAUAGUUCUUCCAUUCAAUAUAGUUACAAUAUAUGCUGACAAUCACUUCGGCUUCUCAUGCUUCUCUAUUAUAUAUGACGCUCACAACUCCCACGAUAACACUAUCUACAAAUAAAAAUCCAGAAAACCAUGAAGAGGAAAGAAUAAAGUCCAAACCUCUCUGGGUUCCAAAAGGAGUUGGAACUGAUUCCAGUGAAGGGUUCGACCUCAGUAGAAUGAAACGUCCCAUGCUUCGUCUCCACAAUCCUCAUCUUAAAAACAAGGUCCAUGGACAUAGCAGUUUCAUGGCAAGAACUGGUGUUGACAAAAGGUAAUUGACAAUGAUUAUAAUUCUAUUUCGAGUUUUUGACCAGUAACACAACCAGACACCAAUAAACUAACAAAUUUGGUUCCGUUUUUAUAAAAAAUAAUAGGUUCAUAUAGUGUACUUGGGUAGAAGAACAUGAUCAUGAGUUUGUAACAAAAUUUCAUUAUCAGAUAUUGUCAACUUCUUGGAAGGUUUUGGAGCAAAGCUUACGAAGUCCCAAGCCAAGCAAAUAACAGCGCCCAUGUCUACUUUUACAAACAUACAGCAGCUGGCAAGAGUUAUUUUCAGAGGUUGGAGUCUAAUGCCGACACUAACCCAGGAGCUGCUCCGUUCAGUCGUGGUUUUGCAAAGAUAUAUUUGGAAUGUGUUAUCACCUAUGCAUCUCUGGGAGGCAACGGUGGAUCUGGUGACGAUAUGCCUGGAGUGGCAUCAGUGACUUCCAGACCCAGCGUUGGUGACUGACAAUGCAGCUGACUCAACUGGUAGCCCAAGUGUAUGUGAUAAAUCACCCACCAAAAUCUUGCUCUCACCUGGCUUCAACGCAACCAAGAAAGUCCAGCAUGGCUUAAGAUCCGAGAGAAUUCACUUUUUCUCCACAACCCCAGCUUUUAAAAUAAUGAAACAGCAGCUGGUUUUCUUUUUUUCAUUUCGUCUCCACAUUGCUUAAACGUGUUUUCAUAUUUCAGUUAACUUUAAUAUAAUUUUAUUUCAAGCUCAUAAACUUUCUGGUCCCUCAAAUGUGUCCAAUUUUAUUAAUCUAGCAACUAUUUGCUUUGUUA